UGAGGAAUAUUGGACAAUGGGCGCAAGCCUGAUCCAGCCAUGCCGCGUGCAGGAAGAAGCAUCUAUGGUGUGUAAACUGCUUUUGUACGGGAAGAAACACUCCUUCGCGAAGGAGCUUGACGGUACCGUAAGAAUAAGGAUCGGCUAACUCCGUGCCAGCAGCCGCGGUAAUACGGAGGAUCCAAGCGUUAUCCGGAAUCAUUGGGUUUAAAGGGUCCGUAGGCGGUUUAGUAAGUCAGUGGUGAAAGCCCAUCGCUCAACGAUGGAACGGCCAUUGAUACUGCUAGACUUGAAUUAUUAGGAAGUAACUAGAAUAUGUAGUGUAGCGGUGAAAUGCUUAGAGAUUACAUGGAAUACCGAUUGCGAAGGCAGGUUACUACCAAUAGAUUGACGCUGAUGGACGAGAGAGUGGGUAGCGAACA
rnacentral:rRNA from 1 species